rnacentral:rRNA from 14 species
UGAUCUAUCCAUGAGCAGGUUGAAGGUUGGGUAACACUAACUGGAGGACCGAACCCACUGUCUUUGAAAAGCCAGGGGAUGACUUGUGGAUAGGGGUGAAAGGCUAAUCAAACUCGGUGAUAGCUGGUUCUCCCCGAAAGCUAUUUAGGUAGCGCCUCGGACGAACACCAUUGGGGGUAGAGCACUGUUUCGGCUAGGGGGUCAUCCCGACUUACCAAACCGAUGCAAACUCCGAAUACCGAU